AGUGAACGCUGGCGGCAGGCCUAACACAUGCAAGUCGAACGGCAGCACAAGAGAGCUUGCUCUCUGGGUGGCGAGUGGCGGACGGGUGAGGAAUGCAUCGGAAUCUGCCCAUUUGUGGGGGAUAACCUCGGGAAACCGGGACUAAUACCGCAUACGACCUACGGGUGAAAGCAGGGGAUCUUCGGACCUUGCUCAGAUGGAUGAGCCGAUGCCGGAUUAGCUAGUUGGAGGGGUAAAGGCCCACCAAGGCGACGAUCCGUACCUGGUUUGAGAGGAUGAUCAGCCAAAGUGGGACUGAGACACGGCCCAGACUCCUACGGGAGGCAGCAGUGGGGAAUUUUGGACAAUGGGCGCAAGCCUGAUCCAGCCAUGCCGCGUGUGUGAAGAAGGCCUUCGGGUUGUAAAGCACUUUUGUUGGGAAAGAAAAGCAGCCGGUUAAUACCCGGUUGUCAUGACGGUACCCAAAGAAUAAGCACCGGCUAACUUCGUG
rnacentral:rRNA from 1 species